CCACUGGUGCUGGGCAUAGAUGUAAGUGAAGACCUAUCCACACUCCUGGCAAGAUGACUCAAGAGCAAAUAUCACACAGAGAGGAGGCAACAAAACAAAAUGCUAGAAAAAAAAAAUCAAAGACCAAGUCCUCCUGCCCUUCAACUGCAGCCCAGGAUGCUGAGGAGGCAGCAAUUCCUGGGGCCACUGGGAAGCCAGGACAAUUGACCUACAGCGAACCAUCCAGGCCGGGAGGCUGCCUUGCUUUGGGGAAUGGCAAGUGUGGUGCUCUGACACCACCACAAAUGCAGGACUUGCUGAUGAGAGACUUGUCCUCUUUCAAGAAAGUCAGUCACCAGAAGAGCGCA